GGGAUGGAGGAAAUGUCAUUUCCUUACAAAGGAGGCCCUGAAACACCAGAAAGGUAGUAUUAAUGUAAAGAAGUCUUGAUUUACCUGAACAGUUUACCUGCUAGUCAUCUCUAGACUGCUCAUUUAAACCAUUUCUCAAGGUACACUCUAGCUUUCCAUUUGACAUAAAAAAGAAAAAGGAAAAAAAAUCACUGUUAACAAAAUUGUUGUAAACAAAAGCAGCACAAGAGCACUCCGUCCAGUGGCAGAUAACAAGUAUCUAAGAUUUACUAUGUAGUAACCACAUUGGAAGACUAGUUCCACCAGCAAAAUUAUAUUUUUGCUGAAUGAAAGCAUUACAGACGAACUUCUAUGGCACUAACUGUUUUGGGGAGUUCAUUGUUGUACUUGCCAGUCUAUUUCAAAAAAAACACCUAAGGUAUUUAGCAGUCUUUUGUUUAGCCAGAAUAUCUUCAGUUAUUCGGGAUGGGGAGUGAUUUUUACCAAGCAAUAACCAAAGAAUAAGGACAUUAGCUGUAAACCUUGUAGAUGGCUCUUUAGGAAGCAAGAUGAUUUAAAAUGCCAGGGCUGCCUGAAAGCCAAGCCCACCUAAUUGCUAUAGGCCCUUUCUGCUGAGUCCUGGUUGAUCUGCAUGAGAAACAGAAGCUGACAGAAAGAGACAGAAAAAAGGAUGCACAGGUAAAGAUCAUCAGAAACUGUCAGCUUCCUCUAUUAGGACUCCAUGGGCAUAUGCCUUCUUGUGUUGAACACUUCUGUUCAAGAAAUUGGAUAGUUUUUCUUUUAGUUCACUGGAAAAGAAUCACUCCACUACCCUGUUCUUGAAGUUCUCGGCUGUCAGAUUCCUCAAGUCCAUUGCUACAAGGUGAUGGGCAGUGCUGUGUCGUGAUGAUGAUUCAGAGAAGCAACACCACAACAAUAAGUCUAGAAUGAGAAACCGGACAGUGAUGGUUUUGAGAGAAAACCAAGAAAUAUCUGCAUUUAUCAAAUUACAUCUCUUGCCUUCCACUUCACAUGAGGGGAUUUUUUUAUUUUUUACUUUGUAAUCCACACAUGCCCAGCAAUAUUUUUGGGCAGGUAAGCCCAAGCAAACCCAAGGAUGAGGAGGCAGGGACCCACCACAACAGACGAAUCCAUCUGGAGAUGCCUUUGAGACUGUGCCAGUUUGCUGCAAUCUGCACCCAACACAUACCCACCAUGGAGGAAGGCUGAUGCUGUUGACCUUGGGCUAGGAGGACACCUGAAGGCGAGUGUGACAUCAGAAAAAAAGUGCUAUGCUAUGAGCAGAUUCUUUCAUAUAAUGAUUUCAUUUAGAUUAUUUGUGAGUCCAAUUAGGACUAUUAGCUGCUUUAAACACAAACUGGACAAGCAAAGAGUUCUUGGCUCCAUACGUUUGGUGUGUCCCCUUUUGCACAUGUCAGGAUAUUGAAUGUUAGAAUUCCAGCACUAGAUACCCAGUAUUGAUCCUCUUUCACAGAUGGGAACAUAGUGAAAAGUCAUGCAGAGAGUUUCUACUAAAUCGAGAACUAGAGACUGCUAUUUGUUACUUCAUCUCAUUUCUUUGUAUUUCUUUAUAGGCUCUAUUUAAAUACAGAGUCAUAAAAUGUAGGAUGAACUAAAAAUAAUAUUUUAAUAAAAGGAAACAUAUUUUCCUUGACCCCUUUGUUUUUUUUAAGAAAAAGUUUUAGUCAAUCUAUAUUUUUACUGGAGGGGUGGAAUAAUAGAAACUAUAAUGCAGAAAUCAGAUUUGAAAAUAGUUCUUUGUCUCCUCAUUUAGUGUUGUUAAGCAUAAAGAUAUAUGAGGGUCCUGAAUGGGAAAACAAGGCUAAGAACUGUAAGGGUUGAAAAUACCCAUGCACAAUUGGAAAAAACCUAUGAUAGGCUGCUUAUGUUAGGAACUUUUCGUUCUACACUGGUAUGCCCAAUAUCAGGCAAAGCACGAAAUAUGAGUUUAACAGUAUAGAGAAUUCCUAUUCUCAAUGCAUACUCAAAAUGCUAUUUUUCUUGCUCAAGCAAACAGACCAGCACAUACCAAGAUGUCUCUACACAAAGAAGAGUAAGCGAAUAGAUAUUGCAUCCAAUUUCACAGCAUAAAUACGACUCAUGUUCUGGAGAGGCAUGGAAGAUGAGUCUAGUUCUGUCACUCAAAUCAGAGGGCUGAAAACCAGGGCUGUCCCCCACACUGACCUUCACCGGGAUAUCAAUGUACGUAGCAGAUGGCCACUAUCAGCAUGUGCUGUACAGUUCUGGCACUUCACAAUAAGCGCAGGUGCCAAAUGCCAACCCUCUGUGCUAAGUUCUGGCAGAUUUGGCCUCUGGGAAUGAUCCCGAUUUUCUCCAGUCAGAAGAGUCAGCACCAGUAGUUGCAACUGAGUUAUCACCAGAGACCUGGUGUGAAACCAACCUUCUUCUUUGUUCAUUAGGGGAAUUUCAACAGAGCAUUAGAAUGACAUCAGUCUCAAAAAGUGAACUGAGCUCUUUACUCUUUGCGGCUUCGGAGUUUUUAAACACAAUUGUCCAGAAGGUUGAGUUGCAUUUUAUCUGAAAUCAGAUACUACUAUCUUCCACAAAUGCUCUGGCAAAACUGGUGAUAAUUUGAUGGAUUAAUUCAGUAUUUUAACUUUGCAGCACAUUUAGCAUGAUUGCAAGCUUCUGCUUUAACCCACAUUGACCAAUUUCUCAUUUUUAUUUUUUUCACAGCAUUCAUGAUAAUCAUGUACGAAUUAAGAAUGAAAUACUCUCAGCACUAUAAAAAUGGGUUUCCUUUAUAAGAAGGAAAUACAGCUGUCAUGGUUUAAGCCCAGCUGGUACAGCUUUUCAGGUUCGUACCUUUCUAUUUUAGUUAGUGGUCGUUUCUUCACCAAUUUCAAUUUUUUUAUUCUUAUCUUGAAAAACUGUAAAUUUUAAGUAUUUUGAUUCCAUACAUUACCUCCUCUAGAACUUCUAAAACACAAAAAGUUAGUUCUGAAUUCAUUUUGAAAUAUGGUAAGAUCCAAAAUUAAAUGUAAUUUCAGUAUGCUUAAUCAAACACAUAAUUACUAUCAGGAAAGGUAAAAUUCAGUAACUACUGUGAUAGAGGUCUUGAUAACAGUUUUAGUCAAAUUACUAUGGAAAAUCCUGAUUUUCUCUUUGAAAUAGAAGUUUUCAAGCAGUUAUGUUUCUCAGUACUCUCUUCAUCCCAAAUUGUACUUAAAAUACAUUCAAAUAUUUUAGCCAACUGUAGUCCCAGUCCAAUAGUGUG